rnacentral:rRNA from 1 species
GCGAACUACUGGCCAUCGGAGCCGGUAAUCGGUAGGGGGCAAGCGUUGUCCGGGUUCAUUGGGCGGAAAGAGCGGGUAGGCGGCCAGGUAGGUCUGUUGUGAAAACUGGAGGCUCAACCUUCAGAGGUCGACCGAAACCAUCUGGCUAGAGUCCGGGAGAGGAGAGUGGAAUUCCUGGUGUAGCGGUGAAAUGCGCAGAUAUCAGGAAGAACACCCGUGGCGAAAGCGGCUCUCUGGAACGGUACUGACGCUGAGACGCGAAAGCGUGGGGAGCGAACAGGAUUAGAUACCCUGGUAGUC